UACGAAAGGAGCAAGUGUUAUUCAGAUUAACUGGGCGUAAAGGGCUCGUAGGCGGUCUGUCGCGUCGGGAGUGAAAACUCAGGGCUUAACCCUGAGCCUGCUUCCGAUACGGGCAGACUAGAGGUAUGCAGGGGAGAACGGAAUUCCUGGUGUAGCGGUGAAAUGCGCAGAUAUCAGGAGGAACACCGGUGGCGAAGGCGGUUCUCUGGGCAUUACCUGACGCUGAGGAGCGAAAGUGUGGGGAGCGAACAGG
rnacentral:rRNA from 1 species